rnacentral:rRNA from 1 species
UACGGGGGGGGCAAGCGUUGUUCGGAAUUAUUGGGCGUAAAGGGCGCGUAGGCGGCUUGGCAAGUGGAAGGUGAAAUCCCUCGGCUCGAACCGGGAACUGCUCCGAUACUGGCGGGCUUGAAUCCGGGAGAGGGAUGUGGAAUUCCAGGUGUAGCGGUGAAAUGCGUAGAUAUCUGGAGGAACACCGGUGGCGAAGGCGGCAUCCUGGACCGGUAUUGACGCUGAGGCGCGAAAGCCAGGGGAGCAAACGGG